rnacentral:lncRNA from 1 species
GGGAUAUAUGGGUGAUUCCUAUGAUAAUAUAUAUUAUUAAAGAGCAAGACAGACGAUAAAACAGUAGCAAAUAAAUAUAUCAUGUGGGACAUUAGACAUUGAUAAAUAUGUGAAUAAUGAGCAGAGUAAAUCUGGAUGGGGUGUUUAGGGACAGAUUAUGGAGUAGGGGAUGAACUUGUAUUCAAAUUCUCAAUAUUUUGGAUCCAGUAGAACUUACCGCAAAGGUGAUACUUUCUGGGCGAGAGUAAUCCACACACUGGGAAAAGCACUCUAUUUUUAGGAUCAACUAAAAUUAUUUCUCUAAAUACACGUGAUCUUUAGACAUCUCCGUUUUCCUUUUUAAUGGCUUAUGCCUCUUAGAGCGGUUUCUAGGAAGAGCCAGUGCAUAUCUUCACCCACCUAUGAAAAGCCAUUUUGAUGGCAAGUCUUUCUUAUGUGUACAUCUAGCGUUUCCAGACCUCCCAGUAACUGUCUCUCCGUUCAGCCUGCUGGAUCGUUUCCAAUCCUGAUUUACUAGCCAAGCGAUGUAUUUUUUUUUUUCUAUUUUUCAUUUUGUAGUAGGAAUGAUGGACACUUUGAAGCCAAGUGGUGUAAAGUGGCUGUUUCAUCCACGAUGGAGGCCCAGUUAAAUUAGGGAAUCUGUGAGAGCACAUCUUCUCAUUAUGACAGUGCUGUUAGUGUUUAUUUUCCCACAGAUAUAUAACUGUAGUUUAUUUUUUUACUGCUUUAAGUUAUUUGCAAAUAAUUAAAUCUUUUGCUGUAUGUGUUGUAGAAUUUCUCCUGCUCUGUUACUUAGUACUUAGUCAUUUGACAUUGAAUGUAUGUGUGUAUAGAAAACAAACUAUACAUCAGUUUGGAUUUUUAAGUUAUUUUGUGUAAGUUUAUUGAUUUUUCUUCCACAGAUGACUUAAUACCUUCUCUUAAAUUUUAUGCGAUUAAACAAAUCUAAGUUUGUAAACUAAAUAUGUAGUUUUUCUUUACAGUUUGAAAGGUCCUACUCUGAAACGACUCUGGAUAGAUAUUAAAGAGGAAACAAGUUUGUGCUAUGGUGCACUGGGUUAAGAAUCCAACUACAGCGGUUCAGGUUGCUGUGGACAUGUGUGUUCCAUCCCUUAAAGGAUCUGGCGUUGCCGCAGCUACGACACAGGUCACACCUGCAGCUUGGAUUUGAUCCCUGGCCUGGGAACUUCUAUAGGUUGUGGGUGUGGCCAUAAAAAAGUAAAAUUAAAUUAAAAAAUAAAAACAAAGCCUCAGCUCCACAAAAGUGAAAAUAAUCUUUUUUUCUUUUUUUUUUAGGGCUGCACCCAGGGCAUAUGGAGAUUCCCAGGCUAGGGGUCUAAUUGGAGCUGUAGCCUCCGGUCUACACCACAGCUACAGCGAUGUGGGAUCCAAGCCACGUCUGCGACCUGCGCCACAGCUCAUGGCAACACCGGAUCCUCAACCCACUGAGCAGUGCCAGGGAUCAAACCCACAACCUCAUGGUUCCUAGUCAGAUUUGUUUCUGCUGUGCCACAAUGGGAACUCUGAGAAUAAUUUUUGGUUUUGCAGAUUCUCAUUUUUUGUUUUGUAUCAGUCUAUCACAAUUCAAGCCUAUUGGAAGUAGACUCACACUUUUAAGGACAGAUCUUAAAAACUUAGAUAAGUAUUCUAAAAGGGGAGAAAUAGAAAUAGUGAAAUGCUACAAGAAUAAAGGUCAGAAUGUGGUGUGUGUGUGUCAGUCAAAGUGGGAGGAUUGUGCUGCUGGACCCCAGACGCUUAUCUACUAGUAACAUGGUACUAAGUCAGCCACAACCUCAUUGGUUCUUUGUUUUCCCAGUAAUGAAACAGGGACAGUAGGACUAUCUGACUGGUUUCCCAGCAAUUUUUGGAAGACUCUCUAGAACUUAGAAAAACACUAGAAGGGUUUGUGAAGCCAAAAACCAGCUUUUUUAAAAAAAUUUAAUUGUAUUGGCAUAUAUUUGAUUUACAAUGUUGUAUUAAUUUCAGGUGUACUGCAUAUAUUUCCCACAUACGUUAAACUAUUGAUUAGAUUUUUCUCUGCUAUACAGUAGGUUUUAGUUCACCAAAAUAAGCUUUGUAUUCAACCCUAUCACUAGAAUCUCAGGUGAUUCUAAUGGCUGAAAAACUAAAAACUUCAAAGUGUGACAUUUCCUCUUUCCACCCUGUGUCAGCCAACUCCAAGUAAAUAUUCUGCGAAAUGGGCCUGCGUGGAUGCAUGUGCAAAUUGAUAGCAUUUCCAUAAACAUCUAGCGGCUAUUAAAAAUGUUCUAAAUCGCACACCUGUGUGAUAGAACAGGCUUUCGCUAGUGGCAUAAUUAUUUAUAAUAAGAAACAGAUUGGUUUGCUGGAUUCACUGACUUCUAAACUCCGUCUCUACAUUUCUGUCAUUUCAAGGCUGCCUUGAUGAAGAUGUAGGAAGGAAUUAAGUGUAUUCAUGUUGGAUUAAUGGAACGCUGAUUUGAAUAGAGUGUUAGCCCACGAUGUUGAGUAUUUCCUUGCUGCUCCUUCACUUUUUCAAAAUUCGUGUUCCUUGUGGAGUUUAAUACAUGAUUCUUUUAUAGCAAAGUACGCGUGUAAAGUGUUUCCAAACCACGCAUGUGGCCAUUUUAUAUCCGUUGCAGUGUUUUGAAAUGAUGGUUUCAUUAUCUCUUGGCCUGUUUCUUUCAAGAGGGAAAUGUGUGUAUCGCCAUCCUUCUAAGUUUUGGAGGCUUUGGACACUAUUGAAAAUGAAGUGCUAUGCUUGCAAAAAAAAAAAAAAAAAAAA